GUUGGGAACGUGGUAGAGCAGCGGACUGAAAAUCCGCGUGUCGACAGUUCAAUUCUGUCUCUCGGCACCA
rnacentral:tRNA from 1 species